rnacentral:SRP_RNA from 1 species
UGCCGGGCCCCGUGCAACAGACCGCCGUGAACCCUGUCAGGACCGGAAGGUAGCAGCAGUAAGCGGAUGUGGCUGUGUGCCGCGGGUCAACCUGGCAGCA